rnacentral:rRNA from 1 species
GUAGGUGGCAAGCGUUGUCCGGAAUUAUUGGGCGUAAAGCGCGCGCAGGCGGUCCUUUAAGUCUGAUGUGAAAGCCCACGGCUCAACCGUGGAGGGUCAUUGGAAACUGGGGGACUUGAGUACAGAAGAGGAAAGCGGAAUUCCAAGUGUAGCGGUGAAAUGCGUAGAGAUUUGGAGGAACACCAGUGGCGAAGGCGGCUUCCUGGUCUGUAACUGACGCUGAGGCGCGAAAGCGUGGGGAGCAAACAGGGAUUAGAUACCCUGGUAGUCCACGCCGUAAACGAUGAGUGCUAAGUGUUAGGGGGUUUCCCGCCCCCUUAGUGCUGCAGCUAACGCAUUAAGCACUCCGCCUGGGGAGUACGGCCCGCAAGGCUG